UACGGAGGGAGCUAGCGUUGUUCGGAAUUACUGGGCGUAAAGCGCACGUAGGCGGCUUUGUAAGUUAGAGGUGAAAGCCCGGAGCUCAACUCCUGAAUUGCCUUUAAGACUGCAUCGCUUGAAUCCGGGAGAGGUGAGUGGAAUUCCGAGUGUAGAGGUGAAAUUCGUAGAUAUUCGGAAGAACACCAGUGGCGAAGGCGACUUACUGGACACGUAUUGACGCUGAGGUGCGAAAGCGUGGGGAGCAAACAGG
rnacentral:rRNA from 1 species